CCAUGCAUGACGAUAAAUUGUGUUGGUAGGGACAUCUGAGUAAUGUUGAUGAAUUGCCAACCUUUCUGACACGCAUGG